rnacentral:tRNA from 1 species
GGGAGUGUAGCUCAAUGAAUAGAGCCUCGAGUUUCUACCUCGAUGGUUGUAGGUUUGAAUCCUACCACUCUCG